GUUGUAUGGUUAAGUGACUAAGCGUACAUGGUGGAUGCCUUGGCAGUCAGAGGCGAUGAAGGACGUACUAACCUGCGAUAAGCCGUGAGCAGUCGGUAAGAGACAUUACGACUCACGGAUUUCCGAAUGGGGAAACCCACUUAGCAUAAGCUAGGUAUCGCUACGUGAAUACAUAGCGUAGCGAGGCGAACCGGGAGAACUGAAACAUCUAAGUACCCCGAGGAAAAGAAAUCAACCGAGAUUCCCUCAGUAGCGGCGAGCGAACGGGGAUUAGCCCUUAAGCAUCUUGGAAGUUAGUGGAACGGUCCUGGAAAGGCCGGCGAUACAGGGUGAUAGCCCCGUACACGAAAACAACCUUGAUGUGAAAUCGAGUAGGGCGGGACACGUGACAUCCUGUCUGAAUAUGGGGGGACCAUCCUCCAAGGCUAAAUACUCCUGACUGACCGAUAGUGAACCAGUACCGUGAGGGAAAGGCGAAAAGAACCCCUGUGAGGGGAGUGAAAUAGAACCUGAAACCGUGUACGUACAAGCAGUGGGAGCCCUUCGGGGUGACUGCGUACCUUUUGUAUAAUGGGUCAGCGACUUACAUUUUGUAGCGAGGUUAACCGUAUAGGGGAGCCGUAGGGAAACCGAGUCUUAACUGGGCGUCUAGUUGCAAGGUGUAGACCCGAAACCGGGUGAUCUAGCCAUGGGCAGGUUGAAGGUUGAGUAACAUCAACUGGAGGACCGAACCCACUAACGUUGCAAAGUUAGGGGAUGACCUGUGGCUGGGGGUGAAAGGCCAAUCAAACUCGGAGAUAGCUGGUUCUCCCCGAAAGCUAUUUAGGUAGCGCCUCGGACGAAUACUACUGGGGGUAGAGCACUGUUUGGGCUAGGGGGUCAUCCCGACUUACCAACCCCAUGCAAACUCCGAAUACCAGUAAGUAAUAUCCGGGAGACACACGGCGGGUGCUAACGUCCGUCGUGAAGAGGGAAACAACCCAGACCGCCGGCUAAGGUCCCAAAGUUCUGGUUAAGUGGGAAACGAUGUGGGAAGGCUCAGACAGCUAGGAUGUUGGCUUAGAAGCAGCCAUCAUUUAAAGAAAGCGUAAUAGCUCACUAGUCGAGUCGGCCUGCGCGGAAGAUGUAACGGGGCUCAAACCAGGCACCGAAGCCGCGGAUUCACACUAAGUGUGAGUGGUAGGGGAGCGUUCUGUAAGUCUGCGAAGGUGUGUCGAGAGGCAUGCUGGAGAUAUCAGAAGUGCGAAUGCUGACGUAAGUAACGAUAAAGGGGGUGAAAAGCCUCCUCGCCGGAAGACCAAGGGUUCCUGUCCAACGUUAAUCGGGGCAGGGUGAGUCGACCCCUAAGGCGAGGCCGAAAGGCGUAGUCGAUGGGAAGCAGGUUAAUAUUCCUGCACGACUUGUAAUUGCGAUGGGGGGACGGAGAAGGCUAGGUGGGCCAGGCGACGGUUGUCCUGGUGAAAGUGCGUAGGUGGUGUUUCUAGGCAAAUCCGGAGACACAACACUGAGACACGAGACGAACACACUACGGUGUGGAAGCCAUUGAUGCCCUGCUUCCAGGAAAAGCCUCUAAGCUUCAGAUUACAAGUCAUCGUACCCCAAACCGACACAGGUGGUCGGGUAGAGAAUACCAAGGCGCUUGAGAGAACUCGGGUGAAGGAACUAGGCAAAAUAGAACCGUAACUUCGGGAGAAGGUUCGCUCUUGACAGUGAAGUCCCUUGCGGAUGGAGCAGUUGGGAGUCGCAGUGACCAGAUGGCUGGGACUGUUUAUCAAAAACACAGCACUCUGCAAACACGAAAGUGGACGUAUAGGGUGUGACACCUGCCCGGUGCCGGAAGGUUAAUUGAUGGGGUUAGCGCAAGCGAAGCUCUUGAUCGAAGCCCCGGUAAACGGCGGCCGUAACUAUAACGGUCCUAAGGUAGCGAAAUUCCUUGUCGGGUAAGUUCCGACCUGCACGAAUGGUGUAACCAUGGCCAUGCUGUCUCCACCCGAGACUCAGUGAAAUCGAAUUCGCCGUGAAGAUGCGGUGUACCCGCGGCUAGACGGAAAGACCCCGUGAACCUUUACUACAGCUUGGCACUGAACAUUGAACCUACAUGUGUAGGAUAGGUGGGAGGCUUUGAAGGCGUGACGCCAGUUGCGCUGGAGCCGUCCUUGAAAUACCACCCUUGUAUGUUUGAUGUUCUAACGCAGGCCCGUGAAUCCGGGUCGCGGACAGUGCCUGGUGGGUAGUUUGACUGGGGCGGUCUCCUCCCAAAGAGUAACGGAGGAGCACGAAGGUUGGCUAAUCCUGGUCGGACAUCAGGAGGUUAGUGCAAUGGCAUAAGCCAGCUUAACUGCGAGACGGACAGGUCGAGCAGGUACGAAAGUAGGUCAUAGUGAUCCGGUGGUUCUGAAUGGAAGGGCCAUCGCUCAACGGAUAAAAGGUACUCCGGGGAUAACAGGCUGAUACCGCCCAAGAGUUCAUAUCGACGGCGGUGUUUGGCACCUCGAUGUCGGCUCAUCACAUCCUGGGGCUGAAGUCGGUCCCAAGGGUAUGGCUGUUCGCCAUUUAAAGUGGUACGCGAGCUGGGUUCAGAACGUCGUGAGACAGUUCGGUCCCUAUCUGCCGUGGGCGUUGGAUGAUUGAAGGGAGUUGCUCCUAGUACGAGAGGACCGGAGUGAACGAACCUCUGGUGUUCGGGUUGUCACGCCAGUGGCACUGCCCGGUAGCUAAGUUCGGAAUCGAUAACCGCUGAAAGCAUCUAAGCGGGAAGCGAGCCCUGAGAUGAGUCAUCCCUGACCCCUUGAGGGUCCUAAAGGGCCGUUGGAGACCACAACGUUGAUAGGUGGGGUGUGUAAGCGCGGCGACGUGUUGAGCUAACCCAUACUAAUUACCCGUGAGGCUUAACCAUACAACACCCAAGAAGUGUU
rnacentral:rRNA from 1 species